rnacentral:rRNA from 1 species
AACUGGAGGGUUUGAUUCUGGCUCAGAAUGAACGCUGGCGGCGUGCCUAACACAUGCAAGUCGAGCGAGAAAGUUCCUUCGGGAGCGAGUAAAGCGGCGAACGGGUGAGUAACGCGUGGAUAAUCUACCUUCGGGUCCGGGAUAACUCCGCGAAAGCGGGGCUAAUACUGGAUGGUCCCCGCACUUACUUUAUUUACGGAUUCUAAGGCUCAUGGCUGAUCAGGAGGUUUUAUUCCUUUAUAAUCAGCCAUGAGGCCAAGAAUCCGUUGAUAAAGUAAGUGCGGGGUAAAGAUGGCCUCUGAUUCAAGCUAUCGCCUGGAGAUGAGUCCGCGUCCCAUUAGCUUGUUGGUGGGGUAAAGGCCUACCAAGGCGACGAUGGGUAGCUGGUCUGAGAGGAUGAUCAGCCACACUGGGACUGGAACACGGCCCAGACUCCUACGGGAGGCAGCAGUGGGGAAUAUUGGGCAAUGGGGGCAACCCUGACCCAGCAACGCCGUGUGAGGGAAGAAGGUUUUCGGAUCGUAAACCUCUGUCAGGAGGGAAGAACGGGCUAAAGUCGAACAGGCUUUAGUUUUGACGGUACCUCCAGAGGAAGCACCGGCUAACUCCGUGCCAGCAGCCGCGGUAAUACGGAGGGUGCGAGCGUUAUUCGGAAUUACUGGGCGUAAAGCGCGCGUAGGCGGCACGGCAAGUCAGAUGUGAAAGCCCUGGGCUCAACCUGGGAAUUGCAUUUGAAACUGCCGAGCUAGAGUAAGGUAGAGGGUGGCGGAAUUCCCGGUGUAGGGGUGAAAUCCGUAGAUAUCGGGAGGAACACCAGUGGCGAAGGCGGCCACCUGGGCCUUUACUGACGCUGAGGUGCGAAAGCGUGGGUAGCAAACAGGAUUAGAUACCCUGGUAGUCCACGCCGUAAACGAUGGAUACUAGGUGCUGGGUUUUAAAUUCGGUGCCGUAGCUAACGCGUUAAGUAUCCCGCCUGGGGAGUACGAUCGCAAGGUUGAAACUCAAAGAAAUUGACGGGGGCCCGCACAAGCGGUGGAGUAUGUGGUUUAAUUCGAUGCAA